GUGAGUCAUCGAAUCUUUGAACGCACCUUGCGCUCCUUGGUAUUCCGAGGAGCAUGCCUGUUUGAGUGUCAUUAAAUUCUCAACUUCAUCAGUUUUCUUGUGAAGCUGUUGUGAAGCUUGGAUUCUGGGGGUUUGUGCAGAGUGCUCGGUACACUGCUCCCCUUAAAAGGAUUAGCGAGUUUCAUCUGAGCUCUGUCUAUUGGUGUGAUAGUUAUCUACGCCGUGGAUUGAGCUUAGACUUGCUUCUAAACUGUCUGCAAAGACAAACUUUUUGACCAUUUGACCUCAAAUCAGGUAGGACUACCCGCUGAACUUAAGCAUAUCAAUAAGCGGAGGA
rnacentral:misc_RNA from 1 species